rnacentral:rRNA from 1 species
CCUGUUUAACAAAAACAUGUCUUUUUGAGUUAUUUUUAAAGUCUGACCUGCCCACUGAAAUUAUUAAAUGGCCGCAGUAUUCUAACUGUGCAAAGGUAGCAUAAUCAUUAGUCUUUUAAUUGAAGGCUGGUAUGAACGGUUGGACGAGGUAUAAGCUGUUUCAUUUAAAUUUAUAGUAGAAUUUUAUAUUUUAGUCAGAAAGCUAAAAUGUUAUUAAAAGACGAGAAGACCCUAUAAAUCUUUAUAUUUUAUAUAAUUUAAAUUUUUUGGUUUAAGUUUGUUUUUAUUCUAUAAAAUAUUUUGUUGGGGUGAUAUUAAAAUUUGAUGAACUUUUAAUUAUUUAAAAUCAUUAAUUUAUGAAUUAUUGAUCCMUUAGUAGUGAUUAUAAGAUUAAGUUACUUUAGGGAUAACAGCGUAAUUUUUUUGGAGAGUUCAUAUCGAUAAAAAAGUUUGCGACCUCGAUGUUGGAUUAAGAUAUAAUUUUAGGUGUAGCCGCUUAA